rnacentral:rRNA from 1 species
AGAGUUUGAUCCUGGCUCAGAGCGAACGCUGGCGGCGUGCUUAACACAUGCAAGUCGAACGCGCAGCAUUCUGUAGCAAUACAGGGUGUGGGCGCGUGGCGAACGGGUGCGUAACACGUGGAUAACCUUCCUUGAGGUGGGGAAUAACCCAGUGAAAACUGGGCUAAUACCGCAUAACAUGACGAUGGCACAUGCUGUUGUCUUCAAAGGCGCAAGUCGCCACAAGAGGGAUCCGCGGCCGAUUAGCUUGUUGGCGAGGUAAUGGCUCACCAAGGCAAUGAUCGGUAGCCGGACUGAGAGGUUGGCCGGCCACACUGGAACUGAGACACGGUCCAGACUCCUACGGGAGGCAGCAGUGGGGAAUCUUGCACAAUGGACGAAAGUCUGAUGCAGCAACGCCGCGUGGGGGAUGAAGCUUCUCGGAGUGUAAACCCCUUUCGACCCGGAAGAAUGCCCGCAAGGGUUUGACGGUACGGGUAUAAGAAGCCCCGGCUAACUACGUGCCAGCAGCCGCGGUAAUACGUAGGGGGCCAGCGUUGCUCGGGAUUACUGGGCGUAAAGGGUCUGUAGGCGGUGCGGCAAGUCGAUAGUGAAAUCCCUAGGCUUAACCUAGGGGCUGCUAGCGAAACUGCCGUGCUAGAGUGUGAGAGAGGCGAGUGGAAUUACGGGUGUAGCGGUGAAAUGCGUAGAUAUCCGUAGGAACAUCCGAGGCGAAAGCGGCUCGCUGGAUCACAACUGACGCUGAGAGACGAAAGCUAGGGGAGCAAACAGGAUUAGAU